GUACAGGAUCUCACUCUGUCACCCAGGCUGGAGUACAGUGGCGCCAUCAUAGCUCACUGCAGUCUCAACCUCCUGGGCUCAAGCAAUUCUCCUACCCCACCUCAGCCUUCCCAAUAGCUGGGACCACAAACGCACGCCACCACGCUCUGCUAAUGAAAAAAAUUUUUUUUGUAGAGAUGAGGUUUUGCUAUGUUGCCCAGGCUGGUCUCAAACUCCUGGCCCCAAAUGAUCCUCCCAGAUUGGCUUCCCAAAUUGUUAGAAUUACAGGUGUGAGCCACAGCGCCUGGCCUUAAAAUUUAUCUUUGAAAGAAACUGGUUCCAGACGUGAGAGUUUUAUUCCAAUAUGGCUUCCAGGAUCCCAGAGGACUCGACUUGUAGAGAGCAUCACUGGAGUCAGAAGGGCCGAGGUCCAGGGGCCAAGAACACACCUUGGUGCCAGAAGAAGUUCAUAAGUCUUGAAAUGCAGCAUCUCCUGAGGUAGAAUCAUUGGGCAGAACUCAUGAUAACAGAGCCUUCAAGAUGCGGAGUGAGGACAGGUGUGGGGGCUCACGCCUGUAAUCCCAACACUUUGGGAGGCCAAGGCGGUUGGAUCACCUAAGGUCAGGAGUUCAAGACCAGCCUGGCCAACAUGGUGAAAUCCCGUUUUUACUAAAAAUACGAAGAAUUAGCUGGAUGUGGUGACGCCUGCCUGUAAUCCCAGCUACUUGGGAGGCUGAGGCAGGAAAAUCACUUGAACCUGGGAGGUAGAGGUUGCAGUGAGCUGAGAUUGCACCACUGCACUUCAGCCUGGGCAACAGAGUGAGACUCCGUCUCAAAAAAACAAAAACAAAAACAAAAGAUGGUGAGCGAGUAAGAGCAAUAAAAAUAUUUGAAUGUGUGACUCCUACACUUUUUAACUUAGAUUUUUGGAAAAAAAAUCCUUACACAUUUUCAUCGUAAAGAUUCUCCUACUUGAGAAUCUUGGCAGUUGAUAAACUCAAAGCCAUUUUUAUUCCUUCCUGUAACUUUCAAGCAUUAUCCAUAAAUGCUAUACAGCCCCCAUCUUGCCCCAUCCUUCCACCCUUUUCCCAUCCUUCAAGCAGUUCUUGAAAAGCAGUUCUUGAAAUGACCCCAAAUAUGCCUGUUGCUUCCUGCUGAUGGUACUUAACCCUGACCAGAAAUGGAUUUAGUUAAGAUGUAUUUUUAAUGGUAGCAACAUGGCUAUAUAUAUUCACAUAUUCAUUUAUAUUUUAAGAGAUAAGGUCCU
rnacentral:lncRNA from 1 species